GAUAGCGUCCCGCCGAAUCGCCCGUAUGGGCGAACCGGGGACCCAACUGGUCCGUGUGUGUCACGAACCCGGGGUGAAUCCGCGCGUAGCGCGGUAGGGCGUCUUCGGCCCGAACCCGUCAGCUAACUCGGUAGGCGGCCGACGAAGAAGGA
rnacentral:sRNA from 2 species